CCCUUAGAUGUUCUGGGCUGCACGCGCGCUACACUGGUGCGCUCAACGAGUUUUAACCUUGCCUGGAAAGGUUGGGUAAUCUUUUUAAAACGCAUCGUGAUGGGGAUAGAUUAUUGCAAUUAUUAAUCUUCAACGAGGAAUUCCUAGUAAGCGCGAGUCAUCAGCUCGUGCUGAUUACGUCCCUGCCCUUUGUACACACCGCCCGUCGCUCCUACCGAUCGAAGAGUUAGGUGAAUUGUUUUGAUCGAUAAGAUUUGACUAUGGUCAACUCUCGUUGUGAAAUUCUGUGAAUCUGACUGUUUAGAGGAAGGAAAAGUCGUAACA
rnacentral:rRNA from 1 species